rnacentral:rRNA from 1 species
UCGGGAAUUUUGGGCAAUGGGCGAAAGCCUGACCCAGCAACGCCGCGUGAAGGAUGAAGUAUUUCGGUAUGUAAACUUCGAAAGAAUAGGAAGAAUAAAUGACGGUACUAUUUAUAAGGUCCGGCUAACUACGUGCCAGCAGCCGCGGUAAUACGUAGGGACCAAGCGUUGUUCGGAUUUACUGGGCGUAAAGGGCGCGUAGGCGGCAAUUCAAGUCAUCUGUGAAAUCUCCGGGCUUAACUCGGAACGGUCAGAUGAUACUGCUUUGCUAGAGUGCAGAAGGGGCAAUCGGAAUUCUUGGUGUAGCGGUGAAAUGCGUAGAUAUCAAGAGGAACACCUGAGGUGAAGACGGGUUGCUGGGCUGACACUGACGCUGAGGCGCGAAAGCCAGGGGAGCAAACGGGGAUUAGAUACCCGCGUAGUCCCUGAGCGGGCUGGCAAGGCGCAU